AACGAACGCUGGCGGCAUGCCUAACACAUGCAAGUCGAACGAGACCUUCGGGUCUAGUUGCGCACGGGUGCGUAACGCGUGGGAAUCUGCCCUUGGGUUCGGAAUAACUCGCCGAAAGGCGUGCUAAUACCGGAUGAUGACGUAAGUCCAAAGAUUUAUCGCCCAAGGAUGAGCCCGCGUUGGAUUAGCUAGUUGGUGAGGUAAAGGCUCACCAAGGCGACGAUCCAUAGCUGGUCUGAGAGGAUGAUCAGCCACACUGGGACUGAGACACGGCCCAGACUCCUACGGGAGGCAGCAGUGGGGAAUAUUGGACAAUGGGCGAAAGCCUGAUCCAGCAAUGCCGCGUGAGUGAUGAAGGCCUUAGGGUUGUAAAGCUCUUUUACCCGGGAUGAUAAUGACCGUACCGGGAGAAUAAGCUCCGGCUAACUCCGUG
rnacentral:rRNA from 1 species